GGAAGACACUACGCCAAGCUGCUAACUCCCUGGCCAUUGCCGGACUCUUUCACCCCCAUGGACUUUCCACUGGCAUUUUAAACAACAUAGUUUCUUUUCUCUGUCUCUUUCUCUUUCUCUCUCUCUUUCUCUUUCUCUCUCUCUCUCUCUCUCUCUGUCAAUCUCAUAAUUUCUCUCUCUCGUGCCACGUUCCCACCCAACGCUCUCUCGCCCACUUCUACUGGGGCCCACUUCCUCUCCUGCUCUCUCUGUCUCAACGUGAUUGACUUUCUUGUGCUGCCCAGGACUUCUUGCCCACGUGCGCCUUCAAAACGGUAAGAGCUGCAACUGAACGUGUGAGACAUGGUGCAGAUAGGCUGAGAGGCGGCGGGAGAGAUGCCCAUGAACUCAAGUACCCGGACACGCCCUCCACUUCUACCACCACGAGUAACACCGCCCCCACGGGACCGCUCUUGAGGUCCCCCAAGCCAAGGUGAAGGCAAGUCCCAGUUGAAUCCAGCCCGGCCGGCCGCCCGGCCCGGCCACCUUCAGACGCCGCGCACCCGCCUUGUUGAGACUUGCCACCCUGUCUUGUUGUGUCCAUGUCCCCGAGGUUGUCUUGGAGGCGGGCCGUUCCCCGUGGUGCUCAUUUCUGCCUGGGGGCCUUCCGGGGACCCCGCUUGUCUUUGGGGGUGCGCAGGCCCUUGCCCUGCGAUCAGAGGCGCACCGACCGAUGAGUUCGGUGGCAAAGCUUGAGAAAUGGAGACUCUCUGGGCAUCGGCUAAGGGGGCCCGGGGCCUUCCCAGGCCUGCUGGAGUCCGGGAAGCCGGGGGCACCCAGAAGGAAGGACCCGUCGGACUCUGCCUGGGGACAGCCUGCUCCGCGCCAGAAGGGUCCGCUGCUCAGGCAGCAUCCCCGUGCCUCUCCUCCAGUGGGUCCCUCAGGUAGAAUCGGGGCAGGCCCCACUGGACGUGCAGGGAGGAGGCUCGGAGGAUGCAUCCUUUGCAGGACCCGGUCUGGUACAGCAGCAGACGGAGCCAUCUCCCGGGGCUUUCUGGCUUCUCCGAGGGUGUUCAGGAGUCUCCCAAGUGCGCAGGGGCUCGUGCCCAAAGGGUGGAGGUCGGCACCGCUUCGCUCAAUUCAGGAGUGGAGAAGGAAGCUAGAGGACCCUCUGGAGGUGGCAGGUUUAAUGUCCUGCUUUUUUAUUUAUUUAUUUAUUUAUUUAUUUAUUUAUUUAUUUAUUUUGUAAUCAACUGAAAGAAGGCAGAAGGAGUCGAUGGGCCUCUUAGGCCGGAAACCUUACAAGCAUAGGACCAAGGCAGAAAAGGUCCAGAGGGUUCAUGGUCCUCCGUUCCACCUGAAUCCAGCUAGAGAGCGAGCCAGGGGGAUAGGUGUGCCCCUCGUCGCCCGUGCGCUGAGGCACUGUCACGCAAAGAGACAUUCACCUUCCACGUCAACGCACCUUUAAGGGCGAGAGCGGUCCGCCGUGCCCAAGAGGAACGGGAUGACAUUCAACUGGGACUUGCCUCACCUUGGCUUGGGGGACCUCGAGAGCGGUCCCGUGGGGGCGGUGUUACUCGUGGUGGUAGAAGUGGAGGGCGUGUCCGGGUACUUGAGUUCAUGGGCAUCUCUCCCGCCGCCUCUCAGCCUAUCUGCACCAUGUCUCACACGUUCAGUUGCAGCUCUUACCGUUUUGAAGGCGCACGUGGGCAAGAAGUCCUGGGCAGCACAAGAAAGUCAAUCACGUUGAGACAGAGAGAGCAGGAGAGGAAGUGGGCCCCAGUAGAAGUGGGCGAGAGAGCGUUGGGUGGGAACGUGGCACGAGAGAGAGAAAUUAUGAGAUUGAGAGAGAGAGAGAGAGAGAGAGAGAGAGAGAGAAAGAGAAAGAGAGAGAGAAAGAGAAAGAGACAGAGAAAAGAAACUAUGUUGUUUAAAAUGCCAGCGGAAAGUCCAUGGGGGUGAAAGAGUCCGGCAAUGGCCAGGGAGUUAGCAGCUUGGCGUAGUGUCUUCCCACUGUUUUGUCUGUCUUGAGAAUAGCAUUCAACGCGACUGUGUUCCCGCAGCAGACGUUAGGCCGCUGCCCACGCCUUGAGUGCCGGACGAGGUCAACAUAGGCUUUCCGUCACAGAAUAUGUUUGGGCAGGAAGAUCGGAACACUUGGGGCUGGGCCAUCUACCGCUCCCCCACGGCACACACGAGUCGUCAGGGAAAUGCCCGCCUCUGUGUGUGUUGUACGUGCAGCCUUCUGGCAGAGCCGUGGAGAGUUGGACGUAGGCCAGGUGUGAGGAGGAGAGGUGUGUUUGGGGUGCCACUGGCUCCCUUCCUGCGUGACGUAGGCUGGCGUGGGCUCUUCACACCAGCCCCUUGCCGGUGCUGCCAACGUGAGAAGGGCCCGGGUGCCGGUCCCGCUAUUCCGGAAUUGUGGGUUCACCUGAAGUUUGAGGCCAAACCCCCAGCGGUCAGUGGGACGCCAGUCGCCUUUGACCUCUUGGUCAAG
rnacentral:lncRNA from 1 species